UUUGCUGUGACAUCAUAGUGGGAGGUGGAGACACCUCGAGGAGAAGGUCGAAACAAACAACAGCAAUUGCAGGCAGCAAUGACUGGAGAAAAUCCUGCCUCAAUGAUAGGUUUGUGUGAUCUCUGUGUGCCAUCUUCAGUACGUACAGGAGGUGCGACGUCCCCUUCAUCCACUUGACUCAGAGGAAAAGAAGUUGGAAACUGAGGAUAUGGAACAUCACCCUGCAGUACAAACAAGCCUCAAACCCUGAAUGCGACUUUUCUUUCUCAGUCUGGUAGUGAUGUUUCUGAUUCCCGAACUCCCUCUUAGAAGCUGACAAGCAACAGCAGCUCUCAGCUAAGACAGACUUGGGAAAUGACUAAUUAAACAGUGAUUGCAGGAUUGCUUCCUGACCUGGA